GAUGAACGCUGACAGAAUGCUUAACACAUGCAAGUCGAUGGGGAAGUGGUGCUUGCACCAUGGCAACCAUGGCGGACGGGUGAGUAACGCGUAAGGGACUUACCUGCAGGACUGGGAUAACAGGGGGAAACUCCUGACAAGACCGGAUAAUGUCAUGGAGCUGCAUGGCUUUAUGAUGAAAGGAGACGCCUGCGGAGAGCCUUGCGUCCUAUUAGCUAGUUGGUGAGGUAAUGGCUCACCAAGGCGAAGAUAGGUAGCCGGCCUGAGAGGGUGGACGGCCACAAGGGGACUGAGAUACGGCCCUUACUCCUACGGGAGGCAGCAGUGGGGAAUAUUGGACAAUGGGGGCAACCCUGAUCCAGCAAUUCUGUGUGCACGAAGAAGGUUUUCGGAUUGUGAAGUGCUUUCAGCAGGGAAGAAGUAAGUGACGGUACCUGCAGAAGAAGCGACGGCUAAAUACGUG
rnacentral:rRNA from 1 species